UUAAUCUCCAUGGUAACCAGAAUUAUUUCAGUUUCCCAUUUUUUUUCAGGAGAAAACCACAAACUUUCUCCUCAGUUCAACCAUUACGGCUAAACAGUGAAAGAUGUGUGCUGUUAAGAGCCAUGCCUGGAAAAGUCAGCUCUGUGAUAGAGCCAAUUCCAAUGCCGUGAGAAAAGGACAAAUGGAAUACUCCAUGCCAAAAGACAGGAGAAUUUUGACAGUAAACAACUGAGGGUGGGGACAGGAGUGGGGUGAGAACUAUAUGAAAAUAAUAGUUUUACUAUACCAUUCCUUCUGAAUAAAGUUUGGGUUUCAGGGCUGUCAAGAGCCUGCCCCUGACUUCCUGUCACCCGGUGGUGUCUUACCAUGUGCUCCCAGACUGGCCAAAUUUCGAUGGUACCUCUGCACGAUUGUGUCUGAUCUCUGUGCUUGUGCCCAAACUCUUCUCACUCUUGAAAACUCAUACAACAUCUGGGGCUUCACUGUUACUGUAGUUAGUACAAUAUAUGGCUGCUUGGUCAACUUUAAGUCUCCCAAUUGAGGAAUUUCUGUGUGCACAUCUCUCACAUGGUAGUGAGUGUUCACUGUCUUCUUGCAAG